GGGAUUUCAUUCAAAGAAUCUGUUACAUACAAUGCCAAGCUAAUAAAAGAUUGUUAAAAAUAAUUGUAAAUAGACAUACUUUAACAAAAACCGACUACAAAUAGAAAAAAAUAAUAUUCCAAAACAAAUUAGAAGAUUACAAAAUAAUAAAUGCAAGCUGGACUUAAGAAGAUGUACUGAUAAGACAAUUUAAGGAAGAAAAUAUGUUACGGUUACGGUACUGUAAAAAUAAGUUAAGUAAAAGCAGAGAUUUGUUUCAACAAAAUAUUUGGGUGUUACCAUAAUAUUUGUCUGAAUGUACUUAAUAGUACUAAAAACUAAGUACUAAUUUGUAAUAUUGAACCUUGUUGUUAUUUUAAAUUUAAUAAAUUACGGGAUUGGUUUAGACAAAAA